GAUGAACGCUGGCGGCGUGCCUAAUACAUGCCAGUCGAGCGAACAGACGAGGAGCUUGCUCCUCUGACGUUAGCGGCGGACGGGUGAGUAACACGUGGAUAACCUACCUAUAAGACUGGGAUAACUUCGGGAAACCGGAGCUAAUACCGGAUAAUAUAUUUAACCGCAUGGUUCAAUAGUGAAAGACGGUUUUGCUGUCACUUAUAGAUGGCUCCGCGCCGCAUUAGCUAGUUGGUAAGGUAACGGCUUACCAAGGCAACGAUGCGUAGCCGACCUGAGAGGGUGAUCGGCCACACUGGAACUGAGACACGGUCCAGACUCCUACGGGAGGCAGCAGUAGGGAAUCUUCCGCAAUGGGCGAAAGCCUGACGGAGCAACGCCGCGUGAGUGAUGAAGGUCUUCGGAUCGUAAAACUCUGUUAUUAGGGAAGAACAAAUGUGUAAGUAACUAUGCACGUCUUGACGGUACCUAAUCAGAAAGCCACGGCUAACUACGUG
rnacentral:rRNA from 1 species